GGUGCUGCAUGGCUGUCGUCAGCUCGUGUCGUGAGAUGUUCGGUUAAGUCCGCUAACGAGCGCAACCCUCACUGUGUGUUACAAGUGUCACACGGGACUGCCGGUUUUAAGCCGGAGGAAGGUGAGGAUGACGUCAAGUCAGCAUGGCCUUUAUGUCCUGGGCUACACACACGCUACAAUGGUCGGUACAACAGGUUGCCAAGCCGCGAGGCGGAGCCAAUCCCUAAAGCCGGCCUCAGUUCAGAUUGUAGGCUGCAACUCGCCUGCAUGAAGCUGGAGUUGCUAGUAACCGCAGGUCAGCUAUACUGCGGUGAAUACGUUCCCGGGUCUU
rnacentral:rRNA from 1 species